CAAUGUAGAAGGAAAGGUUCGUCGAGAUUAUUGAAGACGUUAAUGACUAAGUUAUUGUUGGACGUGGAGUUUAUAUUAGGUCCGGGGAAUUGACCAUUGAUGAGAAUGCCUUGUUGGGGAACGCCCAAGGGAGAGAUGGUGCCAUAGGUGACAUUCCAUGUGAAGAAGAAAUAAGGGUCUUCACCCCGGACCGUCACUGUCAUUGCUGCAGCCGAGAGGCAAAGCAGCGCGGUAAACAUCAACCCAGCCAUCUUCUACCUCUCCCUUCUCUCUCUUUCAAUAUUUUUCUUUUCAAAUCACCGCUCUUAUCUCGAGCAGGCUAAGUAUCCCUAAAUGGAUUAUUGUUCGUUCCCUGAUGGCUAAUCCUUCCAAUCCUUCAUUUAUAUACAAUUUCUCAAACAUUUUGACUCCAAGUUUUUUUCUAACUGCCCCCUCUUUCUUGGGGCCUUGCAUAUUUCCCUACCUCUCCUUUUUUAGAAGAGUGCCAACAUCCCCGGUCCAAACUAUAUGUUUCAUUCAAUAAUUAGAUUGGGUUGACUCUCCAAAUAUAGUGGAUUAAUUGAGAGACGAGCUAACAAAGAUUAUUUUCAAUUUUUCACUUUAUUUAAACUUUUUAAAUUCUAGUUUCAUAAUUUAAAUGCUUCCAGUCAAUGUUAUUUCUAACCAAUUAUUUUUGUUUAUAAAGUAAUAUGAUUAUAUUUAGUACAGAAUAACUACAACAAUUACCUGUAACAAAGUAGUCCUAAACUUUCAAGUUUUCAUUAAUGCUAACUCUAGGAAAAAGUUAUAAAAAAACGUACCCCUCAUGGUUUAUAACACUUCCAGGUCAUAUUUGUGUUUUUGAUCAAUUUAAUUCAGUACAGUGCUAUACUCACACUCCAAGAAGGAUUAGUUCGACUCGUUUUUGUCUCAUUAUAUAUAUUUUGUAAUCAAGUUUUUAAUGAGGUUUAAUUUAUUUAAUACAAAUGUUGUUGCAGAAGUGAUUUGCUAUGAAUCCAAUAAAAUUUGUUGUGAUGACAAAUGGUGACCUAGGGUCGAUGUUGACACUUCUCCGGCCAUCACAUCUUCAUCUUUUGGUUUUAGUUGAUGAAUCAAGAGGCCGGGGUGUAACAUGCAAUGGACAUAGCAAGGAAUGAGUAUUAGCAUGAUCAAAAUAUAUAUAAUUUCAUGAACAACGGACUUUUACUGAGUGUUCAAUCAAGAUUUGUUUAUUUUAAUCCUGAAUCCAAUAAAGUUUGUCGUGAUUAACAAAUUUUGACUAAGAUAUGGUGUGUGAACUUUAGUUUUAUGAUUAUACAAUAAAAUCCUAACAUUGUGUAUAAUAAUAAAUGUUAAGAUUUUUGAACUAGAUAGUUUUUUAAAUUAAAUUUAGAUAAAGAAUGUAUAACAUAUUUUGAUCCACGAAUAAUCUUUAGGAUUUAGGAUUUGUGCUAAGGGUGUUCAAUUUGUUUGAAAUUUUCUUAAGUUAGAAAAGAACUAAUUUUAAAAUAAAUUAUAUUUAUAUCCUCAUUUUUCUCGCAUUUUCUUUUAUUUUUCAAUUCUUACCUUACACCCAUUUUCUAAAUAACCAAGAUAAAAAUAAAAAAAUUAAGUUAAAACCUAAAAUCCACAAAAUUUGACCAGGGCUAAAAUCAAAAUCUCAACUUAAAACAUUACAAAGAUAGAUAGUGAAAUAAAAAAGUAGUUAAGUUAUUAACACACUCAGCUAUUAAAAUACAAUUUUGUUAAAAUAUUUAAGUCAAUUCUAGCGGUGAAGUCCCAUUCACAUAACAAACUUAAUUAAACUCUCCAUUAAAGUUUCAAAUUAAUCCACUACUUAACCAAUGAAGAGAUGUUUGAAACACCCAAAACCAAGACCUGACUGCUUGGUGAGUAUUAGUUCAACACUACUUAAUCAAUGAAGAGAUGUUUGAAACACCCAAAACCAAGACCUGAGGGCUUGGUGAGUAUUAGAUCAUCACUACUUAAUCAAUGAAGAGAUGUUUGAAACACCCAAAACCAAGACCUGAGGGCUUGGUGAGUAUUAGAUCAUCACUACUUAAUCAAUGAAGAGAUGUUUGAAACACCCAAAACCAAGACCUGAGGGCUUGGUGAGUAUUAGUUCAUCACUACUUAAUCAAUGAAGAGAUGUUUGAAACACCCAAAACCAAGACCUGACGUCUUGGUGAGUGUUAGUUCAUCAGACACUCGUUCACAAAAUAAGACGAACACACAUAACACUCUUUUCUUGCUCUACAACUCUCUAAAAAUCAAAAUUCUCAAGAAACAAAGAUGUUCCAUCUUAAAGGUGGGGAAAUCCUAGCAAGAACAGUUUGUUACGUCGGAUGAAGUUUUAUUUGACGUUAACAGUAUAUUGCCGGACGGUGGAAAUAGUCUUGGGUUCUUGCAGUGAGGUGGUGCGUUAUAAUUGGUGCGUUAUAAUUGGUUAGAACAGUUUUCUCAAGAUAAAUUAAAGAGAAAAAUAUAAUUGUAUUAGACUAAGAAGAAAAGGGUUAUUAAAGAAUGAGUUGGAUAUGUAAUAUAAAUGCAAACAAAUGAUUGCCCUCUUCCUUAGCUUACACAUAUUUGUAGCUUAUCUAGUACAUACCUUUUUAAAGGAGCAUUAUUAUUGUUUCUGAAUUAUUGAAUCAAGUCUUAUAGAAGUUCCAUAAUAAAAGUAUACAUUUAUUUUUAUUUAAAAACUCAUCAUAUAAAAUCGAAUAAAAAAACAUGCACACAAACAGUAUAUACAAAAAAGAUAUAAUUAAUUAUCAGAAAAUAUUCUUUUAUUGUUUACUCGCAACCAAUCAUAUACAUGAAAAAUCAACCUCUCCAAAAUUACUUGAGGUGUAUCACAUUUUCACAUUUGGAGUGUGGAAUAAUGGUGGAUUUACUGUCUCAAAUAGUAUAUGGCUUGGGCAAUGGCAUGUCCUUCACUAAACCACAGAGUAAAGUGUUGUCGGGGAUGUUAUACUCAUCUCUGAGGGAGCGAGCUGGUGAAAGAACACUGACGUAGAGUUGGCUCCCCAAGUAACGAUUUUCCAACAACUCGGACCUCAAGUUCCACAUUCCAGCAUUGUCAAAUGUAAGAAGUAUGGCUGCCCACGACUUAGGAAAGACUUGGAUUGUAUGCCUGCUCACGGCAUCAAGAAGAUUGUAGUUGGCUCGUUUUUCCGGAGACCAUCUCCCAGGCUCAAUGCUGCAUAAACAUUGAACAAGAAUUCGUCAGUCAUUUCUAAGUUGGGGAUUAAAAUGGGUAACAUAUUAGCACAUUAAUUAUUUAAAACCACCCAGAUACUUACGCAACAGCGAAGAAUGAGUAGCCAUCCAAAUGCCAUGAUUGAAGGCUCUUCUCAUGGUUUUCAAAAAUGAUUUCUAUGAAAUUGCGGAAGGUUGCAUUGACAACAUUAGGAGCGACUGUCACAGUAGUUGCGCCUUCUGCUAGCCCCUCAUCAGAAAUGGUAUCGUACUUGAACACUUUGUCUGCUACUUCAAAGUACUCUGCAAGCUUCAAUGGAGUUUCAGGAUCAACAUGAGAGACACCGUUGAUGGCAUAUCGCAACUUACCAUCCACCUUACUGAUUGAAUUGACAAGCUUGAUGGUACGAGUAAUGUUGAUGGAACCAUAAUGGUAGGAGCCUUGAGGAUUAGGCCUUGCAGCACUGGCAGUGAGGUUCCAACGGAAGGUACGGAAUUGAUUGAGGGACCAAGCCCAACCCAUUGGGGCCUCAGGGAUUUCAGGAGAUGCAGGACCUUUUCCAUCGAUGUAUCUAACAAUGCCUUUACCAACAAGAACGUUCUUAAUAAACCUAGUUGAUGCAACCAUAUAAUAGUCUUUCGGCUCCUGGUUGGCUGUGACUAGCACCGAAAAGCAUUGCCCCACAUGGACAUCAAGUGAUUCGUAAUCGUUUUGCACGGUAUGAGACCCUUCCAUCUCUACCAGCUUCAUGGUGUGUCCUUGGAAUCUAAAGUUGAGAGAUGACUUGAGACCCACAUUGCAAACUCGAUACUUGUAAGUCUUUCCGGGCUUCAUGGUGAAGAGUGGCUCAUCGGUUCCGUCACCCUUUGCACUUUUUCCAUUGAUGAGGACACCAUCGGGUCUAGCAAUGGAGCGACCGCUAUCCAAAAGUUGCUUAAGUGCGGUGUGGCUCUUGGUGUACCAGUCACCAAUAAGGACAGUGUAAUCAUCUUCAGGGUCAGCAUAGGGAACAGGAAUGAGUAAACGACUAUUCACACGAAGGCCACCAAAGCCUCCAGCUGCUCUAUGCAUGGCAGUUGAUGGAUAGUAGAAGAAGCUUCCAAUUUGGUCCUUAACUUGGAAAUGGUAGGUGUAGUUUGUUCCCGGUAGGAUUGGGCAAUUGGUUCCAAGUAGCCCAUCUUGCCAAGAGUUCUUCCUGUGCUGAAUUCCACUCCUGCAAGUGCCAUUCCAAUUUAUUAAUAAUUUAAAAAAGAGUUACAUUAGUAAAUAUGAUGAGAAUACAAGUUGCAGUUCCAUAUAUAUACCAAUGUAGAAGGAAAGGUUCGUCGAGAUUAUUGAAGACGUUAAUGACUAAGUUAUUGUUGGACGUGGAGUUUAUAUUAGGUCCGGGGAAUUGACCAUUGAUGAGAAUGCCUUGUUGGGGAACGCCCAAGGGAGAGAUGGUGCCAUAGGUGACAUUCCAUGUGAAGAAGAAAUAAGGGUCUUCACCUCGGACCGUCGCAGUCAUUGCUGCAGCCAAGAGGCAAAGCAGUGCGGUAAACAUCAACCUAGCCAUCUUCUACCUCUCCCUUCUCUCUUUUUCAAUAUUCUUCUUUUAAAA
rnacentral:lncRNA from 1 species